rnacentral:rRNA from 1 species
UACGUAGGGUGCGAGCGUUGUCCGGAAUCACUGGGCGUAAAGGGCGCGUAGGCGGCGCGGUAAGCGUGCGGUGAAAGCCCGGGGCUCAACCCCGGGUCGGCCGUGCGGACUGCCGGGCUGGAGCACUGUAGAGGCAGGUGGAAUUCCGGGUGUAGCGGUGGAAUGCGUAGAUAUCGUAAGGAAGACCAGUGGCGAAGGCGGGUCUCUGGACAGUUCCUGACGCUGAGGCACGAAGGUCAGGGGGAGCAAACGGG